rnacentral:rRNA from 1 species
AUUGAACGCUGGCGGCAUGCCUUACACAUGCAAGUCGAACGGCAGCGGGGGAGAAGCUUGCUUUUCCUGCCGGCGAGUGGCGAACGGGUGAGUAAUACAUCGGAACGUGCCCUGUAGUGGGGGAUAACUAGUCGAAAGAUUAGCUAAUACCGCAUACGACCUGAGGGUGAAAGUGGGGGACCGCAAGGCCUCAUGCUAUAGGAGCGGCCGAUGUCUGAUUAGCUAGUUGGUGGGGUAAAGGCCUACCAAGGCGACGAUCAGUAGCUGGUCUGAGAGGACGAUCAGCCACACUGGGACUGAGACACGGCCCAGACUCCUACGGGAGGCAGCGGUGGGGAAUUUUGGACAAUGGGCGAAAGCCUGAUCCAGCAAUGCCGCGUGUGUGAAGAAGGCCUUCGGGUUGUAAAGCACUUUUGCCCGGAAAGAAAUGGCUCUGGUUAAUACCUGGGGUCGAUGACGGUACCGGAAGAAUAAGGACCGGCUAACUACGUGCCAGCCGCCGCAGUAA